UGUGGUGUGGCUCAGUGGGAGAGCACUUGCCUAGCAUGUGUGAAGCCCUGGAUUCAAUCCCCAGCAUCACAC
rnacentral:tRNA from 1 species